GCCCGAUUUUGUACUUGGCGAUGGUGGAAAUCAACCCUACAUCUGGUAUCAGAGCGAGAGUAACUUUUCCCGACCUGAGUCAUAUAACCUCCACCUUGGUGUCAAAAGACCUGCAAAAGAAAAUUGUCUUCCAUUAGUGACACCUCUAAUAGGAAAAACAAUAAAAUUGGAAAUCAUUUAUCUGUACCAAUGUUUAGAAGUUUCUUACAACUUCUAAACUUUGCCAGUAGUAGUACCUUCGUCCCCAUAUGAGAUGGGUUGUAGUGGGUAUGGACUUUCUCAAGUCUUACCACCUUUUGAGAUACUAUAUCUCUAAUGAAGUGGAUAGUAAAACAAUAUGUUGUAAUUGUGAUUUCCAACUUACACAUGAAUUAGAUAAGGUAAACACGUAAGAUGAAGUAGAUUUCCUACCAUCCCUAUCUCCCGCAUAGUCAGCAUCUACAAAACCCUUUAAUUUUAUGCCUUCUUUAUUAGCACUAAACUUUAAGCAUACGUUACUAGUACCCUUCAAGUACUUUAACAGCCACUUUAGCGCUUCCCAAUGUUCAGGGCCCGGAUUAGCCAUAUAUCUACUGAGAGUACUAACAGCAAAACCUAAAUCAGGUCUAGUACAAACCAUCAAGUACAUUAUGGAACCAAUCACAUUAGAGUAAGGUACUCUACUCAUGUAUUCAACUUCAAGCUCAUUGCAAGGAGUUGUUCCUUCGAUAAAACAAAAUGAUUAGCAAGAGGCAACGUGAUAGGAUUGCAGUCACUCAUAUUGAAUUUCUUCAAUACUUUGGAUAUGUAUGGAGACUGAUGCAAAAACAAAACAGAAUUUGACCUAUCUCUUUCGAUUUCAAUACCCAAGAUUCUCUUAACCUUACCUAGGUCUUUCAUGUCAAAUUCACCACUUAGUUUUGCUUUUAUGUUAUUUAUCCACUUAGAGGAUGAUCCAAUCAAAAGCAUGUCGUCCACAUAGAGCAACAAAAAUAGAUAAUUAUCAUCGGUCUCAUUGUGUUAAAAAUAUAGGCAGUGGUCAAAUUUACUUCUUUGGAACCCUAUAGUGAGUACAAAGGAAUCAAACCUCUUAUACCACUGUCUAGGAGAUUGUUUUAACCCAUACAAGGAUCUUCUCAGAAAAUACACAUAAUCAGGUUUUGACUUAUCCUUAAAACCUUUAGGUUGAUUCAUGAAAAUUUGUUCAUCCAGUUCACCAUGUAAGAAAGCAGUUUUUACGUCAAGUUGUUCAAGUUCCCAGUCAAAAUGUGCAACUAAUGCGAGCAUGACCCUAAUAGUGGUGAACUUAACAACUGGUGAGAAAAUUUCAUUAUAAUCAAUGCCCUCCUUCUGUGUGUAGCCUUUAGCCACUAACCUAGCUUUAAACCUUAGGAGUUCCAAGCUGCUAGUUCCUUCCUUAACCUUAAAAACUCGUUUGCAAUCAACAAUUAAUUUAUUCUUAGGCCUAGGUACUAGCUCCCACGUAUGAUUCUUUUCUAAAUAGCUCAUCUCUUCUUUCAUUGCCUUAAACCAUUCAUUAGAUUGAUCAUUGCCUAUUGCUUCUUCAAAGAUCUUUGGCUCUUUAUCAGCUAGUUCUUCAUAACUAGCCUGGGCAAAAGCUAAUUCAGAUUCAAAACCAAACCUUCUUGGUUCUCUUGUCUGUCUCCUCUCUCUAUCCCUAACUAAGUUAUAGUUAGCUAAAAGAUUUUCUUCCUCAUAGUGUUCUUCUGUUACUAUUUCGUUACUAUUCUCCACUUCAGGUUCCUGAGUUUGAGUCUCCAUCUCAUUUGAAACAGUAGGGGCAGGUGGACUGAGUUUUCCUAACUCCACCUUAAACUGGUCUCUCUCUUCACCUGAUUCUACUUCACUCUCAGGUUCAGUUUUCCUUUUAAUACAUGACAUCUCAUUUUCGUUAAACGUGACAUCCCUACUUCUGAUGAUUUUAACCCCUUUUUGGCUUCUAUCCCAUAACCUAUAACCCUUAACACCCUCGGGGUAUCCUAGGAAAACACACUUCCUAGCUCUAGGUUCCAGCUUACCCUCACUUUGAUGAGAAAAAGUUGUACAGCCAAAAGUUCUAAGUAUCAAGUAAUCACUCAGUUUACCCGACCAUCUCUCAUGCAGAGUGUCACCAUUCAAUGCAGCAGAAGGAGUCAGAUUAAUCAAAUAGCAAGCGAUCAUAACAGCUUCACCCCAAAAUGACUUGGGAACACCCGAACUAAUCAUCAUGCAACGUACUUUAUCAAGUAUGGUUCUAUUCAUCCUUUUUGCUACCUCAUUUUGCUGAGGGGUGUAGGGAACGAUCUUAUGUCUAGUUAUGCCGCUUUCUUUACACAUACUAUCAAAUUCUUUAUUGCAGAAUUCUAUGCCGUUAUCUGUCCUUAAAAAUCUGAUUUUCUUGCCAGUUUGGUUUUCCACUUGUCUCUUCCAAUUAUUAAAACUAUUGGAGGUCUCAGAUUUAUCCUUCAAAAGAUAGACCCACACUUUCCUAGUGUAAUCAUUAAUAAUAGACAGGAAAUACCUAUUACCACCCGAUGUGGGGUUACUAGCAAGACCCCAAAGAUCAGAGUGCACAUAUUCGAGCAUACCUUUAGCUCUAUUAACACUCGUGGAGAAAGAAGUUUUGUGAUACUUACCAAGCACACAAUGAUCACAAAAUGGCAAAUCUGACACAUAGUCAUUACCAAAAGCACCCUUUUCAUUAAGUAGCUUAAGUCCCUUGCCCCUACGUGAGCAAGUCUAUUAUGCCAUGUGUGUGUGUGAUCAAUCUUGGCAGAGGAGAUAGAGGAAUUCACAUCUCUAAUCACUUCCCCAAUAGUAAUGUAUAUAUCGUUUUUCUUACUUUCCUUAAUGGAAACUAAAGCACCCUUGAUCAUUUUUAGCAUACCAUUUUCAAUUUUACCAGUAAAGUCAUUCUUCUCAAGUCUCCCUACUGAAAUCAAAUUCCUAGACAAUUCAAGAAUAUAUCUAACAUCCUUUAACGUAUACACAAAACCUGUGUCAAAUUUUACGUUUAUGUCACCAAUUUCAGCAAUAGUAUAGGCAAAGUUAUCACACAGUACAACAUGCCCAACAUUAGAUUCAUGCAACUUAUAAAACCAGUUCUUUUCAGACGUCACAUGAAAAGAUGCACCAGAAUCAAGUAUCCACUCAUGGAUGCGGGAUUAGCAGUUAGGUUUAAUUCAGCAGUGUAUGCAACUGGACUUAUAAUCAUAUAGACCUCACCACCAUUUAUAUCGGAAGUAGAUGCUAACACAUUUACCUCAUCUCUUUCCUUAGCCUUUAGCUUACCAUUCUCCUUAUGACAAUCUUUUAUAAAAUGCCCUGUAUUUCCACAACCAUAGCAUUUUCUCGCCUUAGUCCUAGAUUUUGAUCUAGACCUACCUUUGCUCUUCUUUUUCCAUCCAUUACCACUUGACUCGCCACUAGUUUCAUAUCCUUCAUGACUAUUUUGCCUAAAUUGAGUUCUACCCCGCAUCAUAUGUACCUCACCAUUCCUCUUAUCAUGUUUUUCAGCCCUAAUUUCCAUUUCUUUACUUUUAAGGAAAUCUAUGACAAUUUCAGGUAUUAACGUGUCUCUACCAUACUUAAUGGAGUUCUUAACUUCCUUAUAGGAAUUAGGGAUUGCAUUGAGCAAAAUUAUAGCCUUAUAAGUUUUGGACACAGUCUCAUCACAAUUAACUAUGUCUUGCACCAAUUUGGUAAACACGUCUAGAUUGAUAUAAAGAUCCUUUGAGGAAUCCAUUUUGAAAUUGAAAAAACAUUCAAGCAGGUAAAGUUUAUUCGGUGUAGACUUAAGCAAAUACAAGUCUUCUAAUUUCUUCCAAAGUUCUUUAGUGAUUUUUAAUUUACCCACCUUUCUUAAAACGACGUCAGACAAGUGUAAAAUAAUUGAGGUAUAAGCAAGCUCAUCGGCUUCUUCUCUUUGUUCUUGUGAAAAAUCAGUUGAAAAAUUACCUUCAACGGCUUUUGAAACAUUUUGUUGGACUAAAAUACCCUUCAUUUUUUGUUGUCAAAUAGUAAAGUCACCCUUUCCAUUAAAAAUUCCCAAAUCGAAACUGUGAGUUGUCAUCUUUACACAAUAGUCAAAAAUGCACAAACCACAAUCAAACCACACAAAGUAGUCCUAGGGUCACAGACAAUAUACACCGUUCUAGAUUCCCAGGGUUUCGUAAGACUCGCGGUCUUAGAUCAAGGGAAUGUUCAAACGGGUAAGGUCACGGUAUUUCUAACAGAAUAAGUAAGCAGCGGAAAUAACAAUGCAGCAAAAGAUACGUCUAGUAGAUAACUAGUCCCAUAAUAAUUAGAUCACUAAGAAUUACAAAACUGAUUUUCACCAAAAAAUAAAUACUCAAUCAAAAAAUAUCAAUCAAGAGUACGUAACCCUAAUUCUAGCACAAGUAAUGGUUGCCAAGUAAUGACAACCCCCAACCUAUUGUCACCCCACACGGUGACGCGCUAAUGCUGAAAAAUUAACGGGUUAAGCCAAUUUACCAGAGCGGACGUGUCUGAAUUCGUAUAAUCGAGAGAGAUGCGAAUCUACUGCUUUAGGACCACAAUCUUGGCCUAAAGUAAUUCAGUAGAUAUAUGCAGUUUCAAACGUCGAUCCACCGGGGGCAAAAUUGUUCAACUUUUUCUGUGUAACCUGAAAUAGAAAAUAAACAGUGUCAGUGCGUUCAGUGGAUUAAAAUGAGCAAAUUACCCGAAGGAAGUUCGCCCGGAAUCGCCGCCACGCGCCACCGCCAAAGUCCCACGCGCCACACACGAAGGGGCGCCUCAGCCUGCUGGUUCCGAAUAUGGGAUCGGUUUCAUCGGGAAGUGACUGGAUUGGCCGGAAAAGAGGAUUGCAGUCACGAUUUUACACUAAACUCGCGACUCCACCGCCGGUUUUUGCUGAUUUUCAGGCCAAGGAAAGUUACUCUCGCUCUGAUACCAGAUGUUGAACAAUCGACCUCCGAUGGUGGAUUUUUCGAGCUCAGUUUAACCAAUCUUUAUCUUAUUAAACACACCCAACAAAGGCUCCAACCAAAACAAUGGUUUUUACUUCGGUUGCUCAACUCAAUGUGUUCACAAAGAACACAAUAUGGUGGUUGCAAUGAAUCACAAAAAAUAGAGGAAGACAGAUUCAGUUUAAGGCUCAAGAGAGAAAACUAGAGAAAAAUGUAGGCUACCUCUUUUCAAUUGCACACACACGUGGCUCAUUCACAAAUGAGGGCAAUAUAUAGUUUUAGGGUGUAAUAAUAUAAUGGGCUCAUGGACCAACUAAUGGUUAAAGGGGGCGGAACACAAAUUGAGCUAUCCAAGAAGUAAAUGGAUCGUGAGCAACAUUAACUAUAUUAUGUUGCUUCAAAAGACCCUCAAGUUGUUUUUCAGGUUGAGCCAAUUAAUCGAGUGUGUUAAUAAAUAUUUCAAUCAUCGACCAAGGCCUAUGAAAUCUAAUCUGACUAUCCGACACUGUUUAACAUCAUCGCCCGGAAUUAUUGGGUAUCAAAAACCCAAGAGAAGCCAUUAAGAGGAUGCAAGUUGGCGAAUUGUCUUUUCGACUCAUUUCUUAAUAAUUGAAUAAAUGCAGCCCAUAAAGAAGCAGGUUUUCAAUCUUUUUGCGCUUCGAUUUCAGACGUGCUUACUUUCGAAGACUCCAUUUCAGAGUCCUCACUUCUAAAGAAGUUCUCGAGAACCGUAUCAACCACAAAUUUUUUUUUUGUUAUUAUUACUAUUAUUAUUUUUUAAUUGCCUAUUCUUUCGAUUGAUGAUGAAAAAUGAGAAUUCUUGGUUCAAUUCCCCAUCUCAACGGCCAAUUUUGAGCAAAUUUAUGGCAAUUAGUGCUAACAAACAAGAAGAUGACUUCAGAGGAAACAUACUCAUAAAAAGAAAGCACGUAAAUGCAAAUUCUCUUGUGCUUCUCUAAUCAACAUGCUUAAACAUUGUUAGAGAUUAAACUCAUACCCUUGUGUUUAUACUGAUAUCUCAGUAUUUUAUUUAACUAAGCAGAGUAGAAUGCCAAAUUUAAAUAGAUGAGCUCAUUCAAUUCAGAAUAGGCAAGCUCCAAUUAAGUUUAGGUCUUAAUUUUGAUACUGGGUUUUAUAGUUAAGCAAUUCUCUUCUCCAGGGUUUCAAAUUAGAAUUUUCCAACCCGAAUUCUACAUCUCAAUUAUCCAAAUUUGUUAAAAGUUUCCAAUUGUAAAUUAAGUUUCUGUUUUGGGGUUUUAAUUUCUCUCUCGAUAGAGUAAAAGUUGUACCUUGUUUCUAGCAGAGUUGUAGACGGAUAACUGCAAUGGCUUCGUACAGGCCAUUCCAUCCACCGCAACAGUCAACAUUCGCUCCUCCACCCCCAGCGCCGUCGAAUCAAAGUCUUCUUCAGUCUUCAGUACCACAACCAACGCAGGGCAAUCAGUACCCUAAAAACUGGGGUCCUAAUAGCGGCAAAGAUGGUUCGGCAUACAAUCAGAACUAUGCCCAAAUGAAUCUAAGCUCAAAUUAUCAAAAUGCAGGCUACAGAUCAUCAUCUUGGGGAGGGACGAAUGGAGAGAGGAGAGGCGUGAAAG
rnacentral:lncRNA from 1 species